AGAAGAGGAAAGUCGUAACAUGGUAAGUCUACCGGAAGGUGGCCUUGGAAUCAGAAUAUAGCUUAAUAAAAGCAUUUUGUUUACACCAAAAAAAUAUCCAUUUAGAUUAUUCUGAUAUUAUAAAUCUAGCCUAAUAUUUUACCCCCUUUUUACCCUCCCUAUAAAUCAUUUAAAUAUACUAGUAUGAGUGACAGAAAAUAUAUGAGCGCAAUAAAUAUAGUACUGCAAAGGAAAGAUGAAAUAGAAAUUAAAUAAACAAUAAAAAUAUAACAAAGCAAAGAUUAACACUUAUACCUUUUGCAUAAUGGUCUAGCAAGUUUAAUCCAACAAAAAUAUUUAUGUUAGGACCCCCGAAACCAAACGAGCUACCUUAAGGCAGAUAUAAUCUAUCUCUGUGGCAAAAGAGAGAGAAGACCCUUAGGUAGAGGCGAAAAACCAAACGAGCUUGGAGAUAUCUGGUUACUUGGGAAAUGAAUUAAGUUCAACUAAAAGUAAAAUUACCCAGAAGGACAAAAUACUUUUGAUAUAAUAAAUUAGGGUACAGCCUAUUUUAUAAAGGGGACAGCCUAUAAAAAUGAAUAAAGAUAUAAAAUUAUAACAAAGUAGGCCUAAAAGCAGCCAUCAAAAAAAGCGUCACAGCUUAAUUAUAUAAUUAAAUUAUUUUAAUAUAUAAUCUAAAUUCACUUAAACAACCAAGUUAAUCUAUUUAUAGAUAAACUACUACUAGAAUUAGUAAUAAGGAAUACCUCUUAAUACAUAUGUAAAUCAGAACGAACCCUCACUGAUACCUAACGAAAAUAUUUAUUUUAACUGGGGUUUAAAUUUUAUUUAACGUUCAUCCAACACAGGUGUAUAAAAGAAAGACUUAAAGCUUAAGAAGGAACUCGGCAAACUCAGGCUUCGCCUGUUUACCAAAAACAUCGCCUUUCGGCACAUAAACAUGAAAGGUCCUGCCUGCCCAGUGAUAAUUAAUUUAACGGCCGCGGUAUUAUGACCGUGCAAAGGUAGCAUAAUCACUUGUCUUUUAAAUCAAGACCAGUAUGAAUGGCAAAACGAAAGCCCAACUGUCUCCUUAAGUUAGUCAAUGAAAUUGAUUUUCUCGUGCAGAAGCGAGAAUAUAAAUAUAAGACGAGAAGACCCUGUGGAGCUUUAAAAUAAUCUUAUAUAAGUAUCUUAUAAUAAUCUUAAGUUUAGGUUGGGGCGACCAUGAGGUAAAAUAAAACCCUCAAGACAAUAACUAGAAGUACUCUUCAAAUAAAAAGUAAUAUUUACAUAUGAUCCAAUAAUGAUCAACGAACCAAGUUACCCCAGGGAUAACAGCGCAAUCCAUUCCUAAAGUUCAUAUCAACGAAUGGGUUUACGACCUCGAUGUUGGAUCAGGACACCCCAAUGGUGCAACAACUAUUAAAGGUUCCGUUGUUCAACGAUUAAA
rnacentral:rRNA from 1 species